UACGUAGGGUGCAAGCGUUGUCCGGAAUUAUUGGGCGUAAAGAGCUCGUAGGCGGUCUGUCGCGUCUGCUGUGAAAACCUAGGGCUUAACUCUGGGCGUGCAGUGGGUACGGGCAGGCUAGAGUGCGGUAGGGGAGAUCGGAAUUCCUGGUGUAGCGGUGAAAUGCGCAGAUAUCAGGAGGAACACCGGUGGCGAAGGCGGGUCUCUGGGCCGAUACUGACGCUGAGGAGCGAAAGCGUGGGGAGCGAACAGG
rnacentral:rRNA from 1 species